GGGUUGUGAGGUUAAGCGACUAAGCGUACACGGUGGAUGCCCUGGCAGUCAGAGGCGAUGAAGGACGUGCUAAUCUGCGAAAAGCGUCGGUAAGGUGAUAUGAACCGUUAUAACCGGCGAUGUCCGAAUGGGGAAACCCAGUGCAAUUCGUUGCACUAUCGUUAACUGAAUACAUAGGUUAACGAGGCGAACCGGGGGAACUGAAACAUCUAAGUACCCCGAGGAAAAGAAAUCAACCGAGAUUCCCCCAGUAGCGGCGAGCGAACGGGGAGCAGCCCAGAGUCUGAAUCAGCUUGUGUGUUAGUGGAACGGUCUGGAAAGUCCGACGGUACAGGGUGAUAGUCCCGUACACCAAAAUGCACAGGUUGUGAACUCGAAGAGUAGGGCGGGACACGUGGUAUCCUGUCUGAAUAUGGGGGGACCAUCCUCCAAGGCUAAAUACUCCUGACUGACCGAUAGUGAACCAGUACCGUGAGGGAAAGGCGAAAAGAACCCCGGCGAGGGGAGUGAAAAAGAACCUGAAACCGUGUACGUACAAGCAGUGGGAGCACCUUCGGGUGUGACUGCGUACCUUUUGUAUAAUGGGUCAGCGACUUAUAUUCUGUAGCAAGGUUAACCGUAUAGGGGAGCCGCAGGGAAACCGAGUCUUAACUGGGCGUUAAGUUGCAGGGUAUAGACCCGAAACCCGGUGAUCUAGCCAUGGGCAGGUUGAAGGUUGGGUAACACUAACUGGAGGACCGAACCGACUAAUGUUGAAAAAUUAGCGGAUGACUUGUGGCUGGGGGUGAAAGGCCAAUCAAACCGGGAGAUAGCUGGUUCUCCCCGAAAGCUAUUUAGGUAGCGCCUCGUGAAUUCAUCUUCGGGGGUAGAGCACUGUUUCGGCUAGGGGGUCAUCCCGACUUACCAACCCGAUGCAAACUACGAAUACCGAAGAAUGUUAUCACGGGAGACACACGGCGGGUGCUAACGUCCGUCGUGAAGAGGGAAACAACCCAGACCGCCAGCUAAGGUCCCAAAGUCAUGGUUAAGUGGGAAACGAUGUGGGAAGGCACAGACAGCCAGGAUGUUGGCUUAGAAGCAGCCAUCAUUUAAAGAAAGCGUAAUAGCUCACUGGUCGAGUCGGCCUGCGCGGAAGAUGUAACGGGGCUAAACCAUGCACCGAAGCUGCGGCAGCGACACUAUGUGUUGUUGGGUAGGGGAGCGUUCUGUAAGCCUGCGAAGGUGACCUGUGAGGGUUGCUGGAGGUAUCAGAAGUGCGAAUGCUGACAUAAGUAACGAUAAAGCGGGUGAAAAGCCCGCUCGCCGGAAGACCAAGGGUUCCUGUCCAACGUUAAUCGGGGCAGGGUGAGUCGACCCCUAAGGCGAGGCCGAAAGGCGUAGUCGAUGGGAAACAGGUUAAUAUUCCUGUACUUGGUGUUACUGCGAAGGGGGGACGGAGAAGGCUAUGUUAGCCGGGCGACGGUUGUCCCGGUUUAAGCAUGUAGGCUGGUUGUCCAGGCAAAUCCGGAUAAUCAAGGCUGAGGUGUGAUGACGAGGCACUACGGUGCUGAAGUAACAAAUGCCCUGCUUCCAGGAAAAGCCUCUAAGCAUCAGGUAACAUUAAAUCGUACCCCAAACCGACACAGGUGGUCAGGUAGAGAAUACCAAGGCGCUUGAGAGAACUCGGGUGAAGGAACUAGGCAAAAUGGUGCCGUAACUUCGGGAGAAGGCACGCUGGUGUGUAGGUGAAGUCCCUGCGGAUGGAGCUGAGACCAGUCGAAGAUACCAGCUGGCUGCAACUGUUUAUUAAAAACACAGCACUGUGCAAACACGAAAGUGGACGUAUACGGUGUGACGCCUGCCCGGUGCCGGAAGGUUAAUUGAUGGGGUUAUCCGUAAGGAGAAGCUCUUGAUCGAAGCCCCGGUAAACGGCGGCCGUAACUAUAACGGUCCUAAGGUAGCGAAAUUCCUUGUCGGGU
rnacentral:rRNA from 1 species